GAUUGCUGGAAACUAAAAGUGAGGUACUUCUCAGCAAAGUUUUGCUCUACAAAAAAAAAAAGAAAAUUAUGUUCAUGAAAAUAAUUUUCUUAACUUACGCUUAUCUUCUAAAACUGCAAUAUUCAGCUAUAACCUUCCUUUACAAAGCUUGGAUGCACUGACAUAAAGAGUGCACUAAGGUCAGGUUUGCCUCCUGCCUUCCCCUGCGCCAUUACAAAAUGGAAAACUGGUGGAGAUGUCGAAGGAUCAGGCUCAAGAAGCUGGUGUGGUUAUUGCUGCAGAGUUAAGCACUCUCUGGAAAAUCUCUGCUCAAGACUUCUCCAAUUUCAGCCAAGGAGUUCAAGAUGGACAGGAGAUUUCAGCAGGGACCAAGACAGUUCAAGGUGACUUCAAAAAUCCCCUAUGCCUAGAAGAGGCCUAGAAAUGCCUCCGUCACUUUGGAGCAGGUGGCUGGAUGGAGACCCCCACCUGUGUCACACCGACGGGACCGAGCAACCCCUUCCUGCUGCACCUUUGGGCUUUAAUAAAAAAAAUACAGGAGAAAAAUGACUGUGUUUUGCCCUUGCUGGGAAACCCCUCCAAACUUCAGCUGACGCACAGGGCAAAACUAUGGACAGGCCCUGGGCUGGACCUUUACUACUUUAGUCCGUGCACAGCCACCAGGCACACACUGCCUGCUCUGUCCCACCAAAGACCGCUUUGCUGAGCCUGUAUGGCAGCAGCAGCUGCAAUUGUGGAUGCAACGUGAAACAUCCUCGUUUUCCCCCCAGGGAGUACUAAACCCAGGCAUCCAGCUUAAGAAAAAAGAGAGGAAAAUACCUAUUUUAACUUUGCUUCUAAUCACAAAACAUAUAUUCUUAAAUACGCAUACAUCAGCAGAAACAGCGGGUAAGGGCUCCCGUUCUAAAACAAACAGAAACAUGCACUUUGGGCCCUCAUAUGAAAUGGCAGUAAAAGCCCAACCCAAUAAUUAUUUUCCUUGAUUUUCAGCCAGACAAGGCACAAGACAAAUAAGUCAUCAAGGACAAAUAAAAGGAGGUUCAUUCAUCGCAUUCAGGGCUGGAAUCUUUAAUGGUCACCAAAUGAACUAAGAUAACUAAGUAACCAUUGUAAAUAUUAAUCUUUAAAGGAAAACAAUACUCCCAACAACAGGAAGCCUGAUAAGACAUUGGAUGUUGCCAUCAGUGUUAUGGAGUCUCUCUAAUUUCCUUAGUUUUUUCUUAUGCCUGUAGAGGGAUCAGGAAGGGGAACAUAUGGUAUCUCUCAAAGGAAGUAAAUUAACAUUAUUAAUAGCCAAUGUGGGAGAGGUGAAACAGUGAUUGUUCAUGGUGGUUGUUAUUGUGCCUUUGUUGGGGGGGAAGCUUGCCUGCUAGUGAGUUUAAGCACUCAAGCCAAAUUCAGAAUCUUGUAUUUAUAAACAGAGAUCUGAUAACAGUUGCCUAAGCAUCCAUGAUGCUUUGCCAGCGCACGCACAUCAAGCUGAUCUGAAGGGACUGCGUCUUGGGGUUUGUCCCAGGAGUCAACUAACACAGAAGAGAACUUAUGGUGUGGUCCCUGUUCCCAAGUAACUCCUCACGUGGACCCUCACGUUCUUCUUUACAUCAGUUUAGUUUGAAGCGAAGGAAGGAGGAUGGGCAGACCUGCACUUCUGAGGAACCAAAGCUGUCCAGUGAGGCAGCUGAUCAAGGGGCCAUUGAUGUGGGACAUCUACUUUCAAGCACACAGUGAUGGCACUACUGGGUUUCUGAGGGCUGUGCAAUAGUGUGGUAUGAAAGCGGCAGAAUUAUUUUGGGGGAAGCAAUCAUAACAAAGUGCUGUAUUAGGAUGGAUUGAAUUGGUGACCUGGAAGGGUAACUGAGAGUCCUGGGAUCCCUUGCAAUUUCGCUGCACUAAGAGAAGAAUUUACCUUUCUUAGGCCUCUGCUUUCAUCUCUCCCCCAAAUACUUAAAGUGGUAUUUAUUUAUUCAAAAUAACAUCAACACUUACAGAACAUGUUAUAGGCUGUGGCUACUUGAAAGGGGGAGACCCUGACCCCAGCCUCAGCUCUGUUCAUCCCAGAACACCUGAAAGCAUAAAAUGCAUUCCUCAUUUCUUCAAAUAGAUCCUAUACUUCCUAAUUCCCAGUCAUGAAAGCCUGAGGCAAUUCCUAGCUGGCCUGGCAGAGGUGGACUUCAUGACAUCUUUCAUGCUGAGACAAUCUGCAAAAUAAAUUUGGCAGAUCUUAGUAAAACAGAGGACUCUAUUCAAGUUACCCAGUGAGCUCAGCAGAUAUAAGCAAGUUUUGGAGACAUUGUUCAAUAAAGUCUUUAGAAAAACAUAUGGUAUAAUUAACUCACUGAAUCUUAAUAAAAGUUGAGUAACCUAGUAAGAAAACCCUGUGCUUCAGGGCACAUGGCGAUUGCUUUAUAGAGACAAAGGAAUUCCCUCUGCCCUUGAAAGCUUAUACUUUAACUGCAAGUUGACAGCUGGAUUUUGGUUUCUCAGCCCGAAGAGGACAACUUGAGUAUCUUAAAACAGUAUAGGCCUUAGUUAAACUUAAGACAGGUGCAACUGCUCUGUAAGGAAACCAUUUCCCUACCGUACCACUCUACUUGAAGAGAUAACUCAGUAAACUCUGAUUAAGUUUGUGUCUUAAAACCGGUCUAAAGUACCUCUUCCUGGGUGAUGAUGGGAUAUUUUGUUUCUUAAGAAACUCAUCAUGUUGACCAAGAAGUUCAUGAAAGGUUGACAGAGCUGUGCAUUGUUUGCUGGCACGGUGGAGUUAUAUGACAAGGAUCAAUUGCUCUCUGUGCUCAGGCCCAUGUGGUUUAUGAUGUUGUGAAGUUUUCCACACUGCCAACUUUAGGGCCCUUUAGUAUUUCAGGUUAUGUAAACUUGUAAUAAAGCUGUUCCUUCUUGGCUCUGAAGAAUGGGACUUUCUGCUCAACCAGGACAGGGCUGAAUUCCAGAUGCGAAAGGCAGGAUGCUUUCAUGAUGGCUUAGAAGAAGAGGAUGUUUCCAAAACAUCUAUAGCAGUAUGGGAAGACAGAUGUUUAGCCAGGACAGUUCUACAGUCAGGUGAGACACUACCUCGAAGAAAUUAAAUGCAUCAAGCCAGACUCUUUAGUGACUGAAAUACCUUCUGAGAAAGAUAACAGAUCUGCAUAUCUUCAUAAUCUUAACUACCAAUAUGAUGCCAUCACCCUGAUGACUACAACUCAUUACACUGUGGUCACACACUUCUCAUUGCCUGUCCCCACCUUCCAUCCACAUCAGGCACCAAGCAUGGUUGGUUAGUGGUGGCAGAUGAAAACAAUUCUACUCUAAAACCACCACAACCUCAAGAAGAAAAGCAAGUUACAGUGCACUUCCAGGGAAUUACACCACCAAGUCCAAAAGUUCAGAGAUCUCAAAGGACAGGUAAGGCCCUGGCUUACCCUGGUAUCAAUGGGGUCUUGGAGGGUGAGAGUCUGUGGCAGCUGGAGAGCAUGGCCAGCCCUAAGCCGUGCAAGCAGACACGCUGUUAACCCCCGCACAAAGCUAUUGCUCACUUCUGACCCAUUUUCUAUCCUUAUCAUGCAAUUAAUCACACUUUGCAAGAGCUUCGUGGAAGGAGUGAGUUGUCUGGGGGCGGCUGCGAUUACUCAGUUGUAACUUGGACUCUCCACCCAGGCAGGGGAGUAUGGGGAAAUACAACACUCCCCUCCCUCCCCAGUCCCCCCCUUGGACCAUGGGCCAGGGUGCAGGAGCCAUCCCUCUUCCCCCAUGGCACGUGAGAGCAAAGUACAGACUUGGCUUCUGCCCUGCUCUUGACCGGAGCUGCAGCACCCAGAGCAAGACAUCAGGUGACGGUGGCAAGUUAUUUGUGGUAAAGCUCAGCAACUUGAUUACUAAUCUCUGGAAACGAGGGGGAAGCCGAGGAAGGAUUUUGACCCCGUGGUGUCUCAGCUGGUGCAGGCACACACUGCCUCCCAGGGCCGCCCCAGGGAAGUGUGCCUCCAGGACACUCCUCCCCAUGCCCCAAGCCAGGGCAUGCCUGUAACUGCCACAGGACAAUUUACAGGACAAAUAUUGAGGAUAAUUAAGGAUAAUCUCUGCUUUAGGUGUCUUACAAAGAAGGUCAGGUACUCUCUUUCCUUGUCAGAUGUGAUGAAAUUAGGCAGCUCCCAUUAAUAGCAGGUACUUGUUUCUCAGAACAAAUACUAAUAAAACCCCUAUCUAGAUCCUAAAGGUUUCCUAGAUUUAAUCUUCUCAAAAUUCCAACAAGAUCAUUACAUUGAGUUUGCCUCUAAAGAGCUGUAACAGUGAAUUGCAUUACCAGCACCAAUCUCCUGCUGGUAUAUGCUUUCCUUGCUGUACCCAUGCUAACAAAUACAGAGAGGUGCUAUAAUAUGUAUGUCCUGAGCUCAGAAAAUAACAUCCUUUCAAAUAACUUGGCAGGUCGGGGUAGAUUAGAUAGUCACAUAAAAGUGAAGGAGGAAUCUGCCCCAACAACUUCUGCUGUUUUUUGUGGUCUGCUGAUUUCAUAAUAUUUGGUCAUAAGAUGUUGGUUUUGAUAUUCACUUAUUAUCACGAUGGGCUUCUUCCUAAAUAGCCUUUGGGUAACAGACAUUUGCAUUGCUGGCAAAGGGGAGAAGCUGGGACUAAUGAAUUCUGCUCCUGAAAGAUCCCACUACCUACACCCAGGGGGACUUGAGAGGGCACAUGCUGCGCAAUGUCUUCUGCCUACGGAUGCGACAGCCGACACAGGAGGAGGUCUGGUAAAACAGCAUAUUCCAGCUUCUGUUUCACUAUCCUUGCACACCUAAAAGCCCAAUUUCCAAGAAAUCAGAGAAACACUGGUUCCAUCCCUGUGAAGAAGGGAUAUUCCUUAGAAACAUUUGUCUUGUGCCAUCAGAGGCAGGAUGCUGAAGGACCAGCAGCCAGAGGCAGCCAGCAGGCCUGUGGUCAGGCCAAGACUGCGCUCAGGCAAGAGGCAGGUUCAGCAAUUUCUAUGGAAAGGUUGAUUCAAAACAUAGGAAAAAACAUGUGGCAACAUAUUCACUGAGAGAUCACUUACAGUCGAGCCAUUUGUAGCACUCCUGGCCUAGCAAUCCCCCUUUACGCUGCCUUCAUAUGUUUAUCUCUCCUUUUACAUCUAGGCACACUGCUGUAGUACUUGAGCAGCUUCAGCAACAUUUUUAACAUAUCAGCCUAACUAUAUUUUAAUUAAGCUUAUGGGAUUGAUAACAGCAUUUGAUCCUCAAGACUGCAUGCAACAAUUGAGCUUUUACAAAUAACCAUGCCCACAUAAUUAUGAAAAUAAGAACUGAAAGAGGCCUUUCUGUGCAGU